UGUAGAGAUGUGUCUGCUACUGGAACUCUGUGCGGCAUUUAUCUGGGCUCUGAUCUGAGGUGCUGUUAACUUGUGAUUUCUGAAGCUGGUGACUCUGAUGUAUUUAUCCUCAGCUGCACUCGAUGGUUUUUGCGACUGCACUUGGGGGCACAUUGAAAGUUUUAGCAAUUUUUCUGAACUGACUGACCUUCAGCUCUUGAAGUAAUGAUGAACUGUUGUUUCUCUUUUCUUAGCUACUUAAGGAAACUACACUGAGAUUACAAGCAUUUCGGAAUAAACUGCGGAUAGUAAAUUACUCAUGCUUGGCCUUCAAGACUCCAAGCAUUUCAAAGAGGCCAUGUGGAGUCUAAUAAUGCUCUGCCCUGCAUGGUGGAGAGAAUACAGGUUUCCUGUCAAAUAUCUGAAGCUUCAAGCCUCAGCAGUAUCAGCAUUCGUCAUAUGCCCUGUAUCCUGCAAGUUUUGUCCAGGCAGGACCUUCGCCUUAAACAAAUGGAGUAUUUUCAGUAGAGAAGCUGACUGUUUGCACACCUGAAGCAUACUAUCUUCUCUUGUGUGCUGUCUGUGUAAACACCAAACAGUGUUCUGACCUGAUUCAACCAACCCUGUUCAGAGUUCAUGGAUGAACUCUUACAAUAAAUUGUUCUGUUUGACAAGAAGCCUGCAGCUGAACUAUGGCUACAGACUCAUCUACAGUGUCUCAAACAUCUCUGAAAAACAUCACUCAAACUGCAGUCAAUAAAUACGUCUGGCAAAAUAAAUAUUAAAUUCAGUAUGUAUUACAGGCACAGUAAUCCUAACCACUGGACUUAAUCGUUCAUCCUCAUUUUAUUGAUCCAAAUACUCAACCGUAAUAUGAUCUGACUGUGAUGAAAGUUGAUGCGUACUACUGUAUUACAUUACAAACCAUGCAAAUGAUAUAUACCAUAGAUAAGCGGGUUUGUGCUUGUUUGUGAUACCCACAAAUCACUGUGUAAUUAUAUACUGUACAUAGAAGGAGUGGAUUGAGAUACAACAGACAAGUGCAGACAGCACCAAUUAAAUGGUGGUUUAAGUGUGUUGUUGUCAUGGUGACUAAGCUAGUGGGCUACCUCUGAAAUUCUGUUUCAUAUUAAAUGCCAUUGCUUUUGUUCCUGUGCACGUCUCUAUUCUUCACCUCCCUCCUCAGUGCAUGCAUUUUACUUCAUCCCCGCCUGUAUCUCUUUGACUGGCUGAAAAACAUCAAAAACAAUCCCAGUUAACCAGCUUUCAAAUGCCUUGUCUCGUGCACUGCUUCACUCUUUGUAUGUCUCUUUCAGUUUCUCUCCCAGCUGUGCCCUCAUCCAUGCUGCCACGUUAGACAGUUAGCAGACAUUGUGGCACAAGAUGCAGUGGGGGUGGAGGAUUUGUGCCACAGGGGGUUUACAGUCUGUCUCCCCCCACAUUUCUAAAGGAAACAACAUGUUUCAUUGUUUACCCUGGUGUACAGAGACACUGAGGUAAAUGGUUUUAUGUGAUCUGCCUAAUCUCUGAGAGAAAGCCUGACUAGCGGAGAAGCGUGGGAGCUUUGGAGUAUUUUGAUUUUAGUGACCUUGCACACGCAGGCAGACAGCCACACAGACAGCAAUAUGCACAACAGGAUCAUAUCAAUAUUAGCUCCUAAACUUGAAAACAUGGAUAGAUUUCAUGCCUACUGUCAUUAAAUACAUACAUAAAUACAUAUGCUUUUGUAGUGAUAGGGAACAGCUGAGAAGAGACAACACGACAUCAUUCCUGCAAUUGGUCUAAUGAGAAUACAACAAAGAAAGAGGAGACACACAAUCUAAUGUCAUGAUGUGAUAUGAAAGUUACCUUUCACCUCCUUUUGGCUACACUUAAUUGCACCAGAUUGUUCAUGUUUUGUUUCUUAUCAAGAGACAUUAGUAACUUACUUGGUGAGGGCAAUGUUAGUACUUUUGGCAAGAUCUAAGAAAAAGUGAAAGAGUUGAUAUUUAAUAUGAUAUAAAUACACAGAGUCGGGCAGAUGGAGGGAGAGAAACAAACAGAGGGAGAUGGAGAGAAAGAGGCAAAAGUUUCUGAAGCAGUAAAUUAAAUCGAGAAACUCUCAUAUGAGCCGCUGGAUGUGUGGGAAGAAUGUAUAUUACCGGACUUGUAUGUUACAACUCAGGAAAGGGCUGAUGACUCAGAAGGCUGUGGGCAAGUUGCUUUGGAGAAAGAUGGAAAUCAAGGGAUGUAGACAAGUAUAGGCAGGCAGGUAGAAAGCAAAUCAGCCUGAGAAAAGGAGGAGGGAAGAGCGAGAAGAGCAGACAGACUGACAGAUGAACACAAGACAGGCCUGUUUGGUAUCGCUGUUAUACAACAACAGACGUGAAGGUGCAGACUAAUUACAAUAUACAAUACAAGUACAUGAUACAGAGAAUAGGCUAAUUGUGUGAACGUGUGUGCGCGUGUGUUUGUCUCUGUGUGUGCACUGGUGUCUCUGCUGCCUUUGCAUGCGGGAUUUAUCUUUGCCCAGCAGGCAGUGUUGUACCAUAUGGUCCACAGAGUAGAUAUUCCUAAAACAACACACAAACACUCACACUUAGAUACAAAGACAUGCAGGCUCACACACGCAUGUAGACAUUUGCGCAGAUACACACACACAUGCAUGCACGCACGCACACAACGUGAUAGAGAGGAAGAAGAGGAAGAGAGAGACAGAGAGUCAUCGGUGAGCACGAUAGAGCCAUCUGCCCGGCCUGGAUUGCUGAGAUCCACAAAUCACAAACCAAAUAAUAAUUAAACAACAAACUAACAUUGCACUAUGACAAGCAGUGAAGUAUAUUUGCAAAUAUGCAAAAUGUUUGGGGCUUACGUAAAAUCCAACAGGCAGGACAGACGCACUGAAUCAGAGAAAGUGAGAAACUAAAAUGAUAGUAGCUAACUGAGAGUUAUUAUUUAUUGUCAGGACAGAAAGUUUGAAAUAGCUGAAGAGAUGACAAGACGCCCUCCGUGAACUCACUUCAGACAGUAGGUCCCCCCAGGGGGGGACUGGCUGGAGGUCCACUAAGCCCCUCGGAGCCCAUAUGGUUUGAGGCUUACACACCCUGAAAUGACACGUGAAGGCAAGCCCACAGGAAGAAGAUACAGGGGUAACUGGAUGGUGUUUGGGGAAGGGUGGUGGGGUUGGGGGUUGGGGGGACUGGCAGCAUGUUAAGAGCGUUCAGAAAUGUGAAUGAAGGGCGUAUUCUAGGGAAAGCGUAACUUACAGUUCCGUGUUUGCGCAUCUGUGUGUUUUUAGUGCGUUUUGAGUGAUCGACCUAACUCGGCGUGACGUGCGACACAAUGGAAUUUAUGUAUGAGCUUGUGUGUGGGGAUAAAUAAAUAAAGAGGAGUAAUGAACAUAUUCUAUAUGAUCUUACUGAACAGUGACACUAAUGGCAUCAACAGAUAAAAUUCUCCUUCUGCUAUUUAACAAACUGCCACGAUGGAAUGACAGACCUGCUGCUUGGACUCCUCCUAUCUUUAACAGCCCUGUUUUCUCCUCUUUUCCCCUCCCCCUGUCAUUUAUCUUACACUCUUCCCUCCCUUCUUCUGUUGCAUUCAUCUUGUUUAUUGACUUGUUUUAGAUUGUCUGGAAAAGCUAUAACAUUUAGGCCCAUUUGCCAUCUUGGAGGAUUUUAACUAAACUUGGUAAUAAACAUCCCAGUUAUCAGCACAACAAAUCAGGGGUGUAACGCAAAGGAUGCAAGAAAUGUCAGGGCGUGGUACACAGAGUAUGUAUGACAGUGUGUAGGUUGUGUAUUAACUAUUAAGCAAACAACUACCUCGAUUGCUUCCUGUAUAUAUAUCAGUGCCCAGAGGCAUUUUAGACUUAAGUCACUGUGGAAGCACUUUUAACUGCAAUGUGCUGAACAAGCUGUUUCCCAUGCUCAUUUUGUUCAACAAGUCAUUAUGUUAUCAAUCCUAAAGAUGGACCCAGUCUGUUAUCUUGGAAAUAUAGACUGGUUAUUAAUAAUGCUGACUGAAUCAUGCUGGGAGUUUGUACUUGGUAAAGAUACCUCUGUGUUGCUAAGUCAUCAGCACAAAGGUAUCUUUGACAAGCACCCUGUAUUUUUAAGUUCAGCCCCUUGGUGGGACUCAGUUAUUUCUAAGUGGCCUUAAAUACUUGGAAACACCUUAGUCCCACCAAGGGACUGAUAUGUUAAAUUAAUUCUUUUACACAAGAGUUAGGAAAGCAUAAUUUUCUUUUAAAUUUAUUUGCCACUUUACAAAGUCCUGCUAACCUAAUCUGGCAGCAAAUUCAAUGAACAGUUUGAGAUCAGGAGGUUUGCUGUCUUGCCAAGUGUUAAAUGAAAACAUCAAACGCAGCUGGUCAUCUUAGCUUAUCAUAAAGACUGGAAACAGGCAAACAAAAGCUUCUCCUCAGAGUAAACCACUACGUCCACAGCUCACUUAACACAUUAUAUCUUGUUUGUUUAGUCAAAGAAAAUUGUAAAAAGUAAUGAUUUGUGGUUUAAGAUGGGGUUGUGUGCUGGACUAUUUCUUGGCAACACACAGUGCCUUUACAGAGUCUUGUUAUCACGUACCCAGCCAGGAAAUCGUCCUGUAGAUAACCUCUGAGCUAAACACAAAGGUUAAAGAACACAUGGGCAAAAAUGGUAAAACUUCAAAAUACAAAAGUUUCUCUUGAAUCAAGUGUUACCAUGCCAUCAAAAAACAUGUUGAUGGCAACAUGUUUUUACUAAAUCUGGACCCAUCGUGGAACAUUUUAAAGGAAGAAAACGGGGACAAGUAAGAGAGGAUAGGUUUAGACAUGCCCCGGAGGAGAGAGGAAGAGUGAAGGGAAAAGAGCAGCACAAGGAUCGACACUGAGUCACACAACAGGACAGGAAGUCUUAGAUGGAGACACCCUUCCUUCCUGUCAGUGUACUGAUCACCAACACUGGACACCAUUUGGUCUCGCAUCACAUGACACAUGUGGCAAGUAUUAUGGCGUACAGCACCACGAGUUGUGCUGUGUAGGUGUGCCGCUUACAUGGAGUGGUACUCUUCUAUGUGCUGCGUCUAGUAGCCAAGUUAUUAAAACUCAAGUCUGACAGUCCACGUGAAGCCGCUCAGUGUGAAGCCUCUCAGGGAACAACAUAGUUUUCUUUUGGGAACAUUUCAGCAGCCAGACAAUGAGCUUAAGUACAGGUUGAUCAGCAAAUUACUCCCUAGCAUAGCAGUGGGCGCCAAAGGCAAGAAGGGAAAAAAAGCAAGUUCCAGAUUUAUGAGCAGCUCCCAACUGUCUACAUGCUUUUCAGUCAUAUUAUUGUGCCUGCAGCACAGCAAGAUUUGCAUUUGAACAGACCGCAAAUAUCAUUUUAACACCUUCUUUAAAAGAACUGAGGAGGCCUGGGUACAAUUUUCACAGGCAGAUAUUGGCUAAGUGAGAUCACACUACUAAGAGUGUGAUCUGUUUUUAUGGAAGAAAGAAAACAGCCAAUGGCUACAGUGUCCUCAAAUUAGAUACUAACCACACCCCCAUAGCAUAGCUCCACUAUUAUUCCUGUUGUCACGACAGACUCCGGGAUGUAACUCUGAUUCUGAGAUGUUAAGAAUUUCUGGAAUUUGUAUACAAGCAGGAAAGAUAAACAACUGUUAAGACACCAUUAGCAAUUACAUUUAAAUGAAACUAGACAAUAGACUGAGUCAUAUAUACUGUAUAGCUUAUUAGGGAUAGCAUUUGGCUACAAGCACUCUAAGCUCUGGUUUAAAGCGAGUCUGGCCUUAAAGGCAGAUGAGUUAAAAUGGCAGGCAGUACAUCAACUGAGGGUCUGCACCAAGGCCUGUUAGAUAAAUAAAGAAUAUUUUCAACUGUGUGUCAUACAAAGCUACUCUCACAUAGCCCAUGAAAAGCAGGCUCAUGUUUUGUUUUGCCUUAAGCAGUACUAGCGUGAACACAAGCAGCUACGUUUGUAUAAGAGGAUCCUAAUUCUAUUGCCAGUUUUACACUUUUCCAGUGACAGCAUUGUGAUGCUGAGGGACAGAAAAAAAGGAAAAGCUACAAAAAAUAAACAAACUAAUAGCUCAUAGGAACCGUGCAACUUUCAAAAUGUUACAAACACGAUCACCGUGCAAAUGUUUCAUGAUGAAGGAUAUCAACUGUAUAAGGCUUCAACUAUCUAAAUGAUGUGAUUUGUAGGGAAACACCGAAUGCUAACAGCUGUUGUUUGCAGACAGAAAAACUCCCCGGGGCAUGUUUAGAAUAAUUGCACCAAUAAAACAAUGUGACGUCUUAUUCACUUACUGAUACUGACUUGUUUUUGUUUUGCUUUUUCAUUUGGCCUUACACUGCAGUGCAACACUGUUGGCUACAAAAUAGCUGAAUCCAAAGUCCACUGAUGUGGGUCAGUAGACUGGAGACUCCUGGUGUCAUAGGAGACUUCCUUUUCCACAGCUCCACACAGGAUAUGAGUAAUUUCCUCUGAGCCUAGCCUAUCCAAAAUUCUCAGAAUUCAAUUCAGUGCAGAGGGUCAUAUCUAGGGCAUCUUUAGGAUAAAAUGUAAUGACAGCUGUGUGGGCAUUAUGCACAUGAAUGUAGGAAGAAUGAGUCAGUCUGCAAACAGGUAAGAUUGAACAUGUACACCCUGUCCUUUGCCAGCACAAAAAUAUCACAGUGGUUUUGGUGAAAAUGAAAGAGACUGAUGUGUGACUCAUGUGGUAAUAACACAGUGUUACAUGUUAACACUGAUUUGGCUGCAGAGGUAUGAAUAUUUGUUUCUGACUGCUGUGCUGUCACACUUACUUCCUGCAGUGUUGUGUUUUAGUGUGAGACAGAUACGCUGGCACCCUUGGGUGGGGCUAUUGUGCAAUCUUUACAAUGUAAACUCAGUGAACACUCAGCUCUGCCACACGCUUCCUGCCGGGACCAAAUAUGGAAAAUAUUUCCGUAAUGUAAACAAACACGCUCUGGUUAGGAGUCAGAAAGCAAUUUGAAAUUGUACAGUAAGUUUUUAACUGUGUGGGUGAGCUGGUAAUAUGAUGCUUUUGUGAAAGCUUGCAAAAACAUUUUGGCACUGUCAAACCAUUAUUACCACAUUUUGGACCAAAAUAGAGCCUCACAAAUCUUCUCCAGAAACUGACAGGAAGAUAAAUAACAACAGUGUGUUACACAUAUACUACACAAAAACUUCAGCUCUUCUGUUUGUAGUUGCUCUCUCCCACAGAGUUCUUUUUCUGCACUUCGGUUGGUGAGGUUAUAAAAGAGCUGUUGCAUAAACCUGCCUCAGGAGGAAAGUUUGAUGAUAAAUCUGGACGCUUAACAGGCAGAAGAAAAGUGACCAAUGGAGAGCUGCAGAAGAGGGGUAACAGGCGUGCACACCCUAAACUGAAACACUUAGGGUGUUCAUUGUCAGGCACAUCAUUUUGACAUGAGGGCAAAGUAUCACUAAGAACAGGUGGUAGAGUUCACAGCACACAGCGUCAUGAUGUGAAUAGUAAGGACCUCAGCUGAGAAAUGGGGUAAAGAUGAUGUAAAGAGGGGAAUAAAAGUGGUUCGUAAAUGGGGAAGGAAGGUCAUGGAUGUCAUGCCAUGUUAGUCAGAAUUUUGAAUCUGCUGUUAUGACAGGAAGGCAAAGCCAGUGUGGUAGGACACAGUCACAUGACCCAGCAUCAGGCCUUGGAUGUCACUUCUUCCCACAACCACAUUUCUACCAAAUUGGGGGGACUGGGGGGGAAAAAAGGAGGGCAACAGAAGAUGACAGCGAGAUGUGUUUAUGUGAAACAGCAAAAAUUCUGGAACCAUGCUGGAUUUACAGAACUGAAAAUGCAGAAGAAUGAUUAUAUAAUUGUUGGAAGGCUUUCACCAGAAGAAGCUAACAUUAAGUUUUCCCAACAAGCAGUCAGCUGCACUCAGUAUUUUCAGAGGUUUUAACUUAACCUAGGCUAUAACAUAUUUCUCCAUGUUGGGCACAUCAGAUAGCCCUAAAACCCACUUUAGCCUUUUUCCCAUAGAAAACUGCCACUUUGUGUAGCCUGAAAACAACACUGCUGAGAGAAGACGAUUGCAAAGACAAUUCCAUCUAAAACUGACGGAUGUUGGAUAUUCAUUAAUUUAGUUGUUUUAAUUGGGCAUCCUGAUUCUGGAAAUCCCAAGGCAACACUAGCUGGUAGAUUUUAAGAGGUAAGCAGGGAUUUUAUGCAUAAACUUGGUAAUGGGUUUAAAAAUAGCUAGUCCAACCCAAUCCAGAUCUAGUGAUAGUGUGCUGUAGCUGAUUUUGCCCUUACAUCUCUAUGUGAUGUUGCUAGCAGUGGUUAAGGGGUGUGGGUAUUAUUAUAUUAGAAAAAAAAGUCUCCAUAACCUUUAUCACAACUAGUAGUUUAAACCUUUAACUGCACUCUGUGGUUUCACCCUAGACGUUCCAGCAUCACACAAAUAGCACGACUUGGCCACGACAUCAGCUUGCCUGGUCGAAAUGUUACAUCAUGCGCCAUUCCUAAACAUCUGAUCAAAGAAUGAAACACACAACCAAGAAAUUAUUUAAGGACAUUCACUUCCUGUAAGUCAUCUGAGAGAUAAGCCAGCAUGUCAGCCAAGCAUUAAACCACACCCAAACCACAAUAGCUUCAUCUGAAGUCGGUCGUAGAGCACAGACGUUAGUAUCAAGUUUGAGCUACUCGAGUCAAAGGUAAAACUGACUUAUAAAAGGUGUUACUGAAGGUGUUAAUGCUUAUUUAAGAACUCAUUUGUUCAGCCCUGAAUUUUAAUUAUAUAAGUAAUUAUACCUACAGAAAGAUCAAAAUCCAGUGUGCCAUGCCACCACACAGUCCAUGACCUGAUUCUUCCCCCAUCAUAAUUAAAACACUGAAUGAAACUGAGCUCGAUUACAAAUCAGGUCCUUAAGCAUUACUUGUCCUCGCUAACACCGCUGAAUAAAAGCUAUUAAUCCACACGAGGGACGCUGCAAGUGACUAGUCCUGUCUGACUGGCUCCUUUGGCCUACUUUCCUUUUCAGAUUGAGCUGUGGUGCGAUCCGAGGCAACUGUGCUAUGAUUAUCUAAAGAUGGAUAUAAGGAGCAGUUUGACUGCGUGCCCAGUGGGAUCAAUCUUGUGACACAGUGGGGCGGUGUCUGGGGGCCUGUUUGGACAAACCCUGGGCUCUAUCUUUUAUCCUUUAUCACAGCUGCUCGUUCUUUCUCUAUUGUUGUGUUAGUUGUAGCCUCUGGAUCACACAGGGUUCUAUCGGGGCUGUGAUCAAAGAUCUUCAGCAGAUAAAGCUCAAGGCCAAAGUACUGAAAUUAAACAUGCAGAACACAUUAAUACCGCUUCUUAUCAUAUCCCGACUUCUAUCCUUCGCUCUUUUACUUCAGGCUAAAGACAUGUCCAGACAUUACAGUUAAAGGAAUGAGAGGAAUGGGAGGAAUUCUGGGGCAUUCCCAUCUUGGCACAGUCAUCUCUGAGCGAGAAGGCCACUCCCUGAAUUACAGGCAGAGUUGAGAGAAGGAGAUGAUUUGCCAUCAGUUUGCUGAAUAUCAGCCUGUUCAGUAAACUUAGACAAUGAAAAAUAAAGAGGUUAGACUUCAAAAUUACAGCAAUACGUCUAACUUAUGAGUCUUUCAGAAGCUGCUGUUAAUAAUACCACAAGUAAUGCCAGUUCAAGGAAAGGUAGAAGAACAACUGCAAUGAUUUAAUAUAUGGUUGAUCAGGAAACUAUUAGGUCUAAUCCAGACUACUGUUCCUGCUAAGGAAGUUAGUACAUCAGAGGAGGUGAGAAUAGCUUAAGUGUAGUGUAUAUGUGUGUGCGUGCAUGCGUGUGUGAGCGAAAAAGAAAAAAAACAAAACAACCUUUAACGGUAAGACAAACAUGGACAUUCCUGCGUUGUUAUGGUAAUGCCCUGCACAAAAGGAAAUAACAGUCACACAGAACAAAUUAACAAAUGAUGCUGCAUUUAAAGCAAAUUACACUUUUUGUUUGUGUGUGUGUGUGUGUGUUUGUAUGAGGGUCAAGUGAGCAAGUCUAAUAAAAGUCAAAUGGUUUUCAGAGCAUAUUGCUUUAGACAAAUACAGUACACAAGAGGCACAUCUGCCGAGAAAAAAAAGGCAAAACCGCUCUCCUGAACACAACAGGGCCUCAAAAAUAGCAUGAUGAUGCUGGGAGAGAACGAGAAGCCUGUAAUUCAACAAGGAGCCUAUAUAGUGAUUAAGUCCCAUGUUAAAAAAAAAAAAAAAAAUGCAAACACACACCACCCACUCUCACUGGCUCGGUUGCAACAUUUCCUGUCAGAGCAAUUGCUUCCAAGAGCAGAAGAAAAAAAGAGAAGUCUUGCAUCAGUGCAACAAGCAGCACACUUAUCUUAAUCAUUAAGAAAUCGAUAUUUUUGCUUUAAUGCAACCAGAGCUGCAUAUUCAAACCUUACAAUUAUCUUUACGCUCUAGAAAUUCUCUUUAAAGUUCAGUCAUGCUUCCUGUCGUGACCUAAGAAAGUAUAUGUUUGUGGCAAAUGAGAGAAAAGUGCUCAAACAAACCGGCACCCACCCUUCCUCAGCCGACAGUCACCAUUCCAGCAGUGACCAAACUCUCACAGGUCACGAGGCCACCCUGAGCAGCCAUACCACAUCCCAACCCCCUCCUUGACCAUGGCAACCACAUCACAUGACUAUCACUCAUGACCGGGAACCGCUGACAAACUGGACCGUCUGUAAACCUGCGCCACUGAUUUCCUGCCGACUGCAACUGAAACCUUUAAAAAUAGGCAAGAUGUGAAGACAACGCAACAACUCAGGUAUUCAGAACGUGACGACAACAGCAACAAAGUGAAACUGGAUAUCUGAACGGCUGAAGCCAAUUCAACCCUGAACGCGGAGAUAGCAUCAGUGCUGAGUUUUGCACAAAACGAAGGAAGUGAAACUUUCACCUUCUUGCUCCCUAGAAAAAGACCGAUAAAAAGAAGCUGGAACUCGACAGGCCCUUUUCUCUCCAAAGGGCAAAUUCUUCUGCUAUCAGAUGUUUAUACCACAGCAAGAGAUUGAAACUGUGCAGCAAUAGCAGCAACAGAGGAGAGUGGUGUACAUUUACAGUAACUGGGGCACUGCUGUACAAACUCCUGCCAUCUCAUCCACUACCAGUUCAACGAUAUCAUUUUAAGGCAGAGUUCAGUUUCAGCUCUGUUCUUACCU